rnacentral:rRNA from 1 species
CCUACGGGAGGCAGCAGUAAGGAAUAUUGGUCAAUGGACGCAAGUCUGAACCAGCCAUGCCGCGUGAAGGAUUAAGGCCCUCUGGGUUGUAAACUUCUUUUAUAGGGGACGAAAAAAGGGCAUUCUUGCUCACUUGACGGUACCCUAGGAAUAAGCACCGGCUAACUCCGUGCCAGCAGCCGCGGUAAUACGGAGGGUGCAAGCGUUAUCCGGAUUUACUGGGUUUAAAGGGUGCGUAGGUGGGUUGGUAAGUCAGUGGUGAAAUCUUCGAGCUUAACUCGGAAACUGCCAUUGAUACUAUCAAUCUUGAAUCAUCUAGAGGUAAGCGGAAUAUGUCAUGUAGCGGUGAAAUGCUUAGAUAUGACAUAGAACACCAAUUGCGAAGGCAGCUUACUAUGGAUGUAUUGACACUGAGGCACGAAAGCGUGGGGAUCAAACAGGAUUAGAUACCCUGGUAGUCCACGCCCUAAACGAUGGAUACUCGACAUUUGUGAUAUACUAUAAGUGUCUGAGCGAAAGCAUUAAGUAUCCCACCUGGAAGUACGACCGCAAGGUUGAAACUCAGAGGAAUUGACGG